CUAAGGGAUAACACAGUUCCACUACCACAAUGGAACUUAUAAAGGCGACCGAUGGCCGGAUAACCAUCCAAGUUCUGGCUUUGAAAUACACAGGCCGAAGACGGGCAGCAGCUUAGAAAACAAUUAU